CCGGUUGCCGGCGACCGGCGCACGGGUGAGUAACACGUAUGCAACCUGCCCGUGGCAGGGGGAUAAGCGGGGGAAACCCGUCUAAUACCGCGUAACGCGGCCUAGGGACAUCCCAAGGCCGCCAAAGGGAGCAAUCCCGGCCACGGAUGGGCAUGCGGCGCAUUAGCUAGUCGGCGGGGUAACGGCCCACCGAGGCGACGAUGCGUAGGGGUUCUGAGAGGAAGGCCCCCCACACUGGUACUGAGACACGGACCAGACUCCUACGGAAGGCAGCAG
rnacentral:rRNA from 1 species